GCUCCAGUGGCGCAAUUGGUCAGCGCACGGUACUUAUAAUGCCCAGGUUGUGAGUUUGAGCCUCACCUGGAGCA